rnacentral:misc_RNA from 1 species
UUCUUCCUGGGAAAACACAAGUUGUUCUUAAAUGUGAUAUGUCUGCAUGGCAAAAAGUAUACUACCAGCAGGUCACAGAUGUUGGGAGGGUUGGAUUGGAUUCUGGAACUGGGAGGUCUAAGAGUCUGCAGAAUCUCUCCAUGCAACUUAGGAAAUGUUGUAAUCACCCUUACCUAUUUGUGGCCGAGUAUAAUAUUUAUCGAAAGGAGGAGAUAGUGAGAGCAUCUGGAAAAUUUGAGCUUCUUGAUCGUUUACUACCCAAACUUCGCAGAGCUGGGCACAGGGUCCUUCUCUUCUCACAAAUGACCCGCCUCAUGG